rnacentral:rRNA from 1 species
AUUGAACGCUGGCGGCAGGCCUAACACAUGCAAGUCGAAUGGUAACAGGAAACAGCUUGCUGUUUCGCUGACGAGUGGCGGACGGGUGAGUAAUGUCUGGGAAACUGCCUGAUGGAGGGGGAUAACUACUGGAAACGGUAGCUAAUACCGCAUAACGUCGCAAGACCAAAGAGGGGGACCUUCGGGCCUCUUGCCAUCAGAUGUGCCCAGAUGGGAUUAGCUAGUAGGUGGGGUAACGGCUCACCUAGGCGACGAUCCCUAGCUGGUCUGAGAGGAUGACCAGCCACACUGGAACUGAGACACGGUCCAGACUCCUACGGGAGGCAGCAGUGGGGAAUAUUGCACAAUGGGCGCAAGCCUGAUGCAGCCAUGCCGCGUGUAUGAAGAAGGCCUUCGGUUGGUAAGUACGUUUACUAGCGGGGAGGAAAGGGAGGUAAAGGUUAAUUAACCGUUUA